rnacentral:rRNA from 1 species
CCUACGGGUGGCAGCAGUGAGGAAUAUUGGUCAAUGGGCGAGAGCCUGAACCAGCCAAGUCGCGUGAGGGAUGACGGCCCUAUGGAUUGUAAACCUCUUUUGUCGGGGAAUAAAGGCGUCCACGUGUGCAUUGAUGAGUGUACCUGAAGAAUAAGCAUCGGCUAACUCCGUGCCAGCAGCCGAGGUAAUACGGAGGAUGCGAGCGUUAUCCGGAUUUAUUGGGUUUAAAGGGUGCGUAGGGGGAACGUUAAGUCAGUGGUAAAAAUUCGGGGCUCAACCGUGGAACGGCCGUUGAACCUGGCAGUCUUGAGUGGAGGAGAGGUAGGCGGAAUGCGUGGUGUAGCGGUGAAAUGCUUAGAUAUCACGCAGAACUCCGAUUGCGAAGGCAGCUUACCGG